rnacentral:rRNA from 1 species
UGAGCAAUCUGCCCUUCUCAUCGGAAUAAGCGUUGGAAACGACGUCUAAUGCCGAAUACGACCUCCUUUCGCAUGAUCGGAGGUGGAAAGCUCCGGCGGAGAAGGAUGAGCUCGCGGCCUAUCAGCUAGUUGGUGUGGGUAAUGGCCCACCAAGGCGACGACGGGUAGCCGGCCUGAGAGGGUGAUCGGCCACACGUGGGACUGAGACACGGCCCAGACUCCGUAGGGAGG